CCUACGGGAGGCAGCAGUGAGGAAUAUUGGUCAAUGGACGAGAGUCUGAACCAGCCAAGUAGCGUGAAGGAUGACUGCCCUAUGGGUUGUAAACUUCUUUUAUAUGGGAAUAAAACGUUCCACGUGUGGGAUUUUGUAUGUACCAUAUGAAUAAGGAUCGGCUAACUCCGUGCCAGCAGCCGCGGUAAUACGGAGGAUCCGAUCGUUAUCAGGAUUUAUUGGGUUAAAAGGGAGCGUAGGUGGAUUGUUAAGUCAGUUGUGAAAGUUUGCGGCUCAACCGUAAAAUUGCAGUUGAAACUGGCAGUCUUGAGUACAGUAGAGGUGGCGGAAUUCGUGGUGUAGCGGUGAAAUGCUUAGAUAUCACGAAGAACUCCGAUUGCGAAGGCAGUUCACUGGACUGCAACUGACACUGAGGCUCGAAAGUGUGGGUAUCAAACAGGAUUAGAUACCCUAGUAGUC
rnacentral:rRNA from 1 species